AACGCACAUUGCGCCCGCUGGUAUUCCGGCGGGCAUGCCUGUCCGAGCGUCAUUAUGACCAAUCAAGCUCUGCUUGGCCUUGGGGCCUGCUGUACCGGCGGUCCUUAAAACCAGUGGCGGUGCCGUCUGGCUCUAAGCGUAGUAAUUCUCCUCGCUAUAGAGCAUUAGACGCCCACCCGCCAGAACCCCCCAACUUCUCAAGGUUGACCUCGGAUCAGGUAGGGAUACCCGCUGAACUUAA
rnacentral:misc_RNA from 1 species